rnacentral:rRNA from 1 species
AUUGAACGCUGGCGGCAGGCCUAACACAUGCAAGUCGAGCGGAUGAAGGGAGCUUGCUCCUGGAUUCAGCGGCGGACGGGUGAGUAAUGCCUAGGAAUCUGCCUGGUAGUGGGGGAUAACGUCCGGAAACGGGCGCUAAUACCGCAUACGUCCUGAGGGAGAAAGUGGGGGAUCUUCGGACCUCACGCUAUCAGAUGAGCCUAGGUCGGAUUAGCUAGUUGGUGGGGUAAAGGCCUACCAAGGCGACGAUCCGUAACUGGUCUGAGAGGAUGAUCAGUCACACUGGAACUGAGACACGGUCCAGACUCCUACGGGAGGCAGCAGUAGGGAAUAUUGGACAAAGGGCGAAAGCCUGAUCCAGCCAUGCCGCGUGUGUGAAGAAGGUCUUCGGAUUGUAAAGCACUUUAAGUUGGGAGGAAGGGCAGUAAGUUAAUACCUUGCUGUUUUGACGUUACCAACAGAAUAAGCACCGGCUAACUUCGUG